rnacentral:rRNA from 1 species
AGUCGAACGGCAGCACGGGUGCUUGCCCUGGUGGCGAGUGGCGCNNGGGANNGUAAUACAUCGGAACGUACCUUGUAGUGGGGGAUNGCUCGGCGAAAGCCGGAUUAAUACCGCAUACGCUCUGAGGAGGAAAGCGGGGGACCUUCGGGCCUCGCGCUACAAGAGCGGCCGAUGUCAGAUUAGCUAGUUGGUGGGGUAAAAGCUCACCAAGGCGACGAUCUGUAGCUGGUCUGAGAGGACGACCAGCCACACUGGGACUGAGACACGGCCCAGACUCCUACGGGAGGCAGCAGUGGGGAAUUUUGGACAAUGGGCGAAAGCCUGAUCCAGCAAUGCCGCGUGUGUGAAGAAGGCCUUCGGGUUGUAAAGCACUUUUGUCCGGAAAGAAAUCCUCUGGGUUAAUACCUCGGGGGGAUGACGGUACCGGAAGAAUAAGCACCGGCUAACUACGUGCCAGCAGCCGCGGUAAUACGUAGGGUGCAAGCGUUAAUCGGAAUUACUGGGCGUAAAGCGUGCGCAGGCGGUUUUGUAAGACGGAUGUGAAAUCCCCGGGCUUAACCUGGGAACUGCAUUCGUGACUGCAAGGCUAGAGUAUGGCAGAGGGGGGUAGAAUUCCACGUGUAGCAGUGAAAUGCGUAGAGAUGUGGAGGAAUACCGAUGGCGAAGGCAGCCCCCUGGGCCAAUACUGACGCUCAUGCACGAAAGCGUGGGGGAGCAAACAGGAUUAGAUACCCUGGUAGUCCACGCCCUAAACGAUGUCAACUAGUUGUUGGGGAUUCAUUUCCUUAGUAACGUAGCUAACGCGUGAAGUUGACCGCCUGGGGAGUACGGUCGCAAGAUUAAAACUCAAAGGAAUUGACGGGGACCCGCACAAGCGGUGGAUGAUGUGGAUUAAUUCGAUGCAACGCGAAAAACCUUACCUACCCUUGACAUGUACGGAAUCCUGCUGAGAGGUGGGAGUGCUCGAAAGAGAACCGUAACACAGGUGCUGCAUGGCUGUCGUCAGCUCGUGUCGUGAGAUGUUGGGUUAAGUCCCGCAACGAGCGCAACCCUUGUCCUUAGUUGCUACGCAAGAGCACUCUAAGGAGACUGCCGGUGACAAACCGGAGGAAGGUGGGGAUGACGUCAAGUCCUCAUGGCCCUUAUGGGUAGGGCUUCACACGUCAUACAAUGGUCGGUACAGAGGGCUGCCAAACCGCGAGGUGGAGCUAACCCCAGAAAACCGAUCGUAGUCCGGAUCGCAGUCUGCAACUCGACUGCGUGAAGCUGGAAUCGCUAGUAAUCGCGGAUCAGCAUGUCGCGGUGAAUACGUUCCCGGGUCUUGUACACACCGCCCGUCACACCAUGGGAGUGGGUUUUGCCAGAAGUAGGUAGCCUAACCGUAAGGAGGGCGCU